rnacentral:tRNA from 1 species
AAGGGUAUAGCUCAGUGGUAGAGAGUGUGCUUAGCAUGCAUGAGGUCCUGGGUUCAGUCCCCAGUACCUCCA